rnacentral:rRNA from 1 species
AUACGGAGGGUGCAAGCGUUAAUCGGAAUUACUGGGCGUAAAGCGUACGUAGGCGGCUAGUUAAGUUAGAUGUGAAAGCCCCGGGCUUAACCUGGGAACUGCAUUUAAAACUGGCUAACUAGAGUUAAGUAGAGGGGAGUGGAAUUUCAGGUGUAGCGGUGAAAUGCGUAGAGAUCUGAAGGAACACCAGUGGCGAAGGCGACUCCCUGGACUUGAACUGACGCUGAGGUACGAAAGCGUGGGUAGCAAACGGGAUUAGAAACCCUAGUAGUCC